UUCCUUUGAGUUCAAAUUGGAA
rnacentral:piRNA from 1 species